rnacentral:rRNA from 1 species
UACGAAGGGGGCUAGCGUUGUUCGGAAUCACUGGGCGUAAAGCGCACGUAGGCGGAUUGUUAAGUCGGGGGUGAAAUCCUGAGGCUCAACCUCAGAACUGCCUUCGAUACUGGCAAUCUCGAGUCCAGAAGAGGUUGGUGGAACAGCUAGUGUAGAGGUGAAAUUCGUAGAUAUUAGCUAGAACACCAGUGGCGAAGGCGGCCAACUGGUCCGGUACUGACGCUGAGGUGCGAAAGCGUGGGGAGCAAACAGG